CUACGGGUGGCAGCAGUGGGGAAUAUUGCACAAUGGGCGCAAGCCUGAUGCAGCCAUGCCGCGUGUGUGAAGAAGGCCUUCGGGUUGUAAAGCACUUUCAGCGGGGAGGAAGGCGGUGAGGUUAAUAACCUCAUCGAUUGACGUUACCCGCAGAAGAAGCACCGGCUAACUCCGUGCCAGCAGCCGCGGUAAUACGGAGGGUGCAAGCGUUAAUCGGAAUUACUGGGCGUAAAGCGCACGCAGGCGGUCUGUCAAGUCGGAUGUGAAAUCCCCGGGCUCAACCUGGGAACUGCAUUCGAAACUGGCAGGCUAGAGUCUUGUAGAGGGGGGUAGAAUUCCAGGUGUAGCGGUGAAAUGCGUAGAGAUCUGGAGGAAUACCGGUGGCGAAGGCGGCCCCCUGGACAAAGACGGACGCUCAGGUGUGAAAGCGUGGGGAGCAAACAGGAUAGAUACCCCUGUAGUC
rnacentral:rRNA from 1 species